UACGAAGGGGGCUAGCGUUGUUCGGAAUCACUGGGCGUAAAGGGUGCGUAGGCGGGUCUUUAAGUCAGGGGUGAAAUCCUGGAGCUCAACUCCAGAACUGCCUUUGAUACUGAGGAUCUUGAGUUCGGGAGAGGUGAGUGGAACUGCGAGUGUAGAGGUGAAAUUCGUAGAUAUUCGCAAGAACACCAGUGGCGAAGGCGGCUCACUGGCCCGGUACUGACGCUGAGGUGCGAAAGCGUGGGGAGCAAACAGG
rnacentral:rRNA from 1 species